ensembl:snoRNA
AAAAAAGAGAUGUCUUUCUAUGGUCUGUUAGCCAUUUCAGAACUUGUCCAGUGAAAUGGUCAGUUCAUUAGAAAGAAACAGCU